rnacentral:rRNA from 1 species
UACGUAGGGCGCAAGCGUUAAUCGGAAUUACUGGGCGUAAAGCGUGCGCAGGCGGUUAUGUAAGACAGUUGUGAAAUCCCCGGGCUCAACCUGGGAAUUGCAUCUGUGACUGCAUAGCUAGAGUACGGUAGAGGGGGAUGGAAUUCCGCGUGUAGCAGUGAAAUGCGUAGAUAUGCGGAGGAACACCGAUGGCGAAGGCAAUCCCCUGGACCUGUACUGACGCUCAUGCACGAAAGCGUGGGGAGCAAACAGG